CCCAGUUGCUUCUCUUCUCCACGGUGAUUUCUGCAUACUUUAUCCAAACCCCCUCCCCACCGCUGUUCAGUUUCUGGCUCCUCUUCCUGCCCGUGCUCUGAGGCCAGCUGGGGGCCUCCCAGGUGACUCCUGCUGCUGCUGUCACUGGACCCUGACGCUGUGCCGCACCCGAAUUCCUCCGAAUGGAGCCUUGGCCAGAGCAAGGCGUGCCGUGUAGAGGAGCGGAUCUGAGCCUGGCAGGAGAUCGC
rnacentral:lncRNA from 1 species